AAUGAAUUAGCUGAGAGUCGGCGUGAGACACCGCGGCGAGAGUCGGCGUGAGACACCGCGGCGAGAGUCGGCGUGAGACACCGCGGCGAGAGUCGGCGUGAGACACCGCGGCGAGAGUCGGCGUGAGACACCGCACAAUCCCACUGGCAGCACCGGUUCCUGCGAGGCCCACAAAGUGCCCACUGCCUAUGUUACUCGCAAACAGAGACGCUCCAACCUGUAACGUUAGAUCACAGCAGCAUCUUUAUACGUCGGACCAAGCAAAGACGACGGAUCUAGUACACAGCUCCUCAACACCUCGGAUGGUUUGCGUCUCAACACCUGAACCAAUACUUCAACAAUAAAUAUCUGAUCACUUACAGGCCACCACCCCAUGGUACGUCCUGCGAGGAAGUAACCACCUACUGUGCCACGAUUCGUCCUAAACAUAGACUAAAAACAGAGAGGAAACGUGAUUAGAUUAGAUUGAUGAGAUUAGACUAUUAAAAUAAUUCAAUAUGAAAACAAAGCACAAACCCAGAUUCCAACUGCAAUCACAACCACAAAGUAGGAGAUGAUCACGAUGAUGUCUGCCGGGUUGUUGAUGGUGACACGAUUUCCUGAAUCCGACUUGUUCAUUUUUUUUAUCACCCACAAUUUCUAUUAGAUUUCGAACCUAAUCUUAUUUCCGAGUCCCGGUUUAGUGUCGAGAUGCAGACGUCUCUGAAGCAGCACCGCAGUCCGACUCUGUGAAGCAUUAAGGGCUCCGAAGGCAGAGAUGGCUGAGGAGUCUGUUGGAGGAAAGGUCAGGUGAGGAACAUGAGUGAAGUGAGUCAUGACUUGAACUCUGAGUCAUUCGAGCAGACAGAGCUGAGACAGCGUGAGACACCGCAGUGAGAGUCGGCGUGAGACACCGCAGUGAGAGUCGGCGUGAGACACCGCAGUGAGAGUCGGCGUGAGACACCGCAGUGAGAGUCGGCGUGAGACACCGCAGUGAGAGUCGGCGUGAGACACCGCAGUGAGAGUCGGCGUGAGACACCGCAGAGAGAGUCGGCGUGAGACACCGCAGUGAGAGUCGGCGUGAGACACUGCGGUGAGUAACACAGAUACACACACACUCACUCACACAUACCCUCACACACACACACACACACUCAUACACAAACACACGCUCCACCUACAUGUGUGAUUGGAAAGUCUCAGAGGAAACACAGACCGUGUGAAACUCGAGGACCCUGGGGCAGAAUGUUGAGGUGAGGUGGAUAGUGGGGCAGUGAGUCAUGAUGUCAGUUCUGUUCAACUGAACCCAACAAUUUAGCUCAAUUAGAACAUUUUUAGAUUUAUUUCGACUAAUUAAUAAACAAAAUACUAAAUAAUUCAGUGUUAGAUUACAGUGCGACUGGUUCUGCAGAGUUCUUCAUGAGAGGGUUCAGGUUCAUCAAGCUGGUUCCAGCACUGGGGUUCAUGCAGACACAUCACUGAGGCUUACAGCUGGACCAGCACUUAGCAUCAUUAAGCCAUGACAUGAUGCUGAGCCUCAUAUCUGUGUGAAUACAGUCAGGUUUCAGUCUGAAUAGCAGGUUUUUACUGAAAGAGUGGAAGGAAAGGUGUAGUGUGUGUAGUGUGUGUGUAGUGUAGUGUGUGUAGUGUGUGUGGUGCAGAGUGGUGUAGUGUAAUGUAGUGUAGUGUAGUGUAGUGUGGUGUAGUGUGGUGUAGUGUGGGUGUGUACUGUGGUGGGUGUAGUGUAAUGUGGUGUGGUGUAGUGUAGUGUGUGUGUGGUGUGUAGUGUGCGUGUGUGUGUGUGUGUGUGUGGUGUGGUGUGUAGUGUGGUGUGGUGUGGUGUGGUGUACUGUGGUGUAGAGUAGUGUAGUGUGUGUGUGGUGUGUAGUGUAGUGUGUGUGUGGUGUGGUUUACUGUGGUGUAGAGUAGUGUAGCGUGUGUGUGGUGUAGAGUAGAGUAGUGUAGUGUGUGUGUGGUGUGUGGUGUGUAGUGUGUGUGUGGUGUAGUGUGACUUCUCUGUUCAGGGUAAAACAGACACGUUUGUCUGCAGUCACAUUUAAACUUCACUUAACUAGACAACCAUCUAACACACAGUCAUUAACACCCCUGAAGAUGAAACGUUACUGAUAAACACCGUGUGUAUUAACACGUUAUAAACAUCCUUAAACACUCCGGUUGUGUCUCGUUGACUAUAACGGACUGUCUGAUCACCUGCAGUUUCUGGAUCUGCUUCAACCAACAUGUCAAGACACCAGAACGGACAACUGAAAGGAUAUCUGUUAGUGUUUCAAUGUAAAAACACAAGGACCUCAUAGUCAUCACUUCAGGUCUGCUUAUGAACGCUUAAUAACGCCACGACAUCAAACUGCAGUAAGAACGAUUUAUUGUGAUGCAAAGUAGCAGAUAAUCAAUUCAGAAAAAGAUCACGAACACAAACCAGGUACGUUUCGUGACUCGACCUGUUUUUUGUUUUUUUUUUGACGAUAACGAGUUGAUUCUUCUGGCUCCGGUAAAACGUGUCCUGUUACGUUCAUACACAUGAGAAAACACAUAAAAACAGCCACAUGGUUCACACUAAGUUCAUGGGUUACAGAGAAUCCUCCUAAAGUAUUGGAACAGCAAGGCUAACUGUUUUGUUUUGGGUUCGAGAUCUAAAGAUUAAUUAUAAGAAUGAAAGACCAGAAUCAUAGCUUUCACUUGCUGAUAGUUAACAGAUUUAUUUAUUUAUUUAUUUAUUAUAAAAGGGGGAAAAUGAACAGAGGCUUAACACCAGAGCCACAAGAGUCCUGGGACUCGAGAUGAGAUGAACCUCAUGACCAAAGUGCCAAAAAAGUAUUUAUUUAUUUAUUAUUUAUGUCAUGAUAUAAAAAAAGUGUUCUGUUAUUCUUCAGAAAUCUUCUGAUCUCAAACCCUUCAGUGCGAAGAGAGAAACAGAAGAUUCGGUUCUUGCUGUUCCAAGACGUUCAGAGAGGACUUUUAUGACCAUCACCUCACCGGUGUUGUCGAUGCACUGAAUAAAAGUACACGAAGAGAAUAAUUAUUAAGGGGAUUCAGGGAGGAGGUUCUGCUUCACUUGGAGCAUCUGAUGGCUUCAGUACAUGUUUGGACAGUUGGUGCUGUACCGAUUUACUGUCGUAUGAUGUUACUGUGGAGUUAUUUGCAGAAAUGAUGAUUUGGAGAUGAUGAAACCGUCCUCCUGCUCCAGACAUGCACCAAAUUAAAAGACACAACAAGGCAAAAAAAAAAUCGAAGGCGUGUUGUAAAGAGACUACAAUACGGUAAUAAGGCUCAGAUAAACGCUAACGUUAGUGGCAGGUUAUAACACUGUGUGUUCCUUCACCUUCAGAUGUGCUCACAAGAAAACAAAGGUCAAUUUUAAACAUUGCAGUAAAAUUAAUAUUUAAAACAAUCCAAAAAAAAA